rnacentral:rRNA from 1 species
AUGGCGGCGGGGGCGUGGGCCGCGCUCAGGUCGGUCGUGAAGCCCUGCAUCGCCGGCUCCCUCAUCGGCCUCACCGUCUCCGACCGCUACUUCACGGUCGCCGCCGUCCGAGGCGCCUCCAUGCACCCUACCUUCGAGGGCAGGACAGGUGAAUACGCGUUGGUGGAGCGGCUCUGCCUCGAGCGCUAUGACUUCUCCCGCGGCGACGUCGUCACCUUCGUGACGCCGGUAGACCACCAGAGGAAGGCGAUCAAGAGGGUGAUUGGGCUGCCCGGCGACUGGAUCAGCGUCCCGGAGACGGAGGAGAUCCGGAAGAUACCGGAGGGCCACUGCUGGCUCGAAGGGGACAAUGGCAGCGUCAGCCAGGACUCGAGAGCCUAUGGCCCAGUGCCGAUUGGUCUGGUGCAGGGGAGGGUGACACACGUGGUGUGGCCGCCCCGCAAGAUAGGCCGCGUCGACAAAAGGGUACCGGAAGGAAGGGUCAUGCCGCAUCGGAAUCUCUAG